rnacentral:lncRNA from 1 species
GAUAUUCAUGCGCCUUCCGGCAUGGUGCGACAUGACCGGACGAUACAAAGCCGUCGCACCGGCGUCUCUUGCUGUUCCAGAGGCGGACCAUCAAAGGACAGCGUUAGUUUUAGAUUUAUUUUCUGUUUUAUUUAGUUUUUGUCACAAACGAUAAUUUCCGGACAUCCACCAGAAAUAAUCGGCGAUUCACUUGAUAAAAAGGACUUCUUUCUAUCUCAAACCUUCUGAAACUCGUCGUGAAUCAUCCAGGGAGUGAUUUUGAAUCGUUUUCCAUCGAUUUCAAUCGAGAAAUC